rnacentral:rRNA from 1 species
UAAGGAAUAUUGGUCAAUGGACGCAAGUCUGAACCAGUCAUGCCGCGUGAAGGAUGAAGGUCCUCUGGAUUGUAAACUUCUUUUAUCUGGGACGAAAACGGGAUUUUUAUCUCAAUUGACGGUACCAGAGGAAUAAGCACCGGCUAACUCCGUGCCAGCAGCCGCGGUAAUACGGAGGGUGCGAGCGUUAUCCGGAUUUACUGGGUUUAAAGGGUGCGUAGGUGGGCUUAUAAGUCAGUGGUGAAAUCUCCGAGCUUAACUUGGAAACGGCCGUUGAUACUAUAGGUCUUGAAUUAUCUGGAGGUAAGCGGAAUAUGUCAUGUAGCGGUGAAAUGCUUAGAUAUGACAUAGAACACCAAUUGCGAAGGCAGCUUACUACAUAUAAAUUGACGCUGAGGCACGAAAGCGUGGGGAUCAAACA